AACUAGCCCCGAUUGCAACGGAAAUCCUUUUUGUAAGAAGCGAUGGGAAAAGCAAGGACUUGCAAAAAGAUUGCAGUGGAAAGCGGGAUUAAGC
rnacentral:sRNA from 1 species